UACGUAGGGUGCGAGCGUUGUCCGGAAUUAUUGGGCGUAAAGAGCUCGUAGGCGGUGUGUCGCGUCGGUCGUGAAAAACUUGGGGCUUAACUCUGAGCUUGCGGUCGAUACGGGCAUCACUUGAGUUCGGCAGGGGAGACUGGAAUUCCUGGUGUAGCGGUGAAAUGCGCAGAUAUCAGGAGGAACACCCGGUGGCGAAGGC
rnacentral:rRNA from 1 species